AGAGUUUGAUCAUGGCUCAGAGUGAACGCUGGCGGUAGGCCUAACACAUGCAAGUCGAACGGCAGCACAGUAAGAGCUUGCUCUUACGGGUGGCGAGUGGCGGACGGGUGAGGAAUACAUCGGAAUCUACUUUUUCGUGGGGGAUAACGUAGGGAAACUUACGCUAAUACCGCAUACGACCUACGGGUGAAAGCAGGGGAUCUUCGGACCUUGCGCGAUUGAAUGAGCCGAUGUCGGAUUAGCUAGUUGGCGGGGUAAAGGCCCACCAAGGCGACGCUCCGUAGCUGGUCUGAGAGGAUGAUCAGCCCCUCUGGAACCGAGACACGGUCCAGACUCUUACGGGAGGCUGC
rnacentral:rRNA from 1 species